rnacentral:rRNA from 1 species
AUGAUGAACGCUGGCGGCAGGCCUAACACAUGCAAGUCGAGCGGUAGCACAGAGAGCUUGCUCUCGGGUGACGAGCGGCGGACGGGUGAGUAAUGUCUGGGAAACUGCCUGAUGGAGGGGGAUAACUACUGGAAACGGUAGCUAAUACCGCAUAAUGUCGCAAGACCAAAGUGGGGGACCUUCGGGCCUCAUGCCAUCAGAUGUGCCCAGAUGGGAUUAGCUAGUAGGUGGGGUAACGGCUCACCUAGGCGACGAUCCCUAGCUGGUCUGAGAGGAUGACCAGCCACACUGGAACUGAGACACGGUCCAGACUCCUACGGGAGGCAGCAGUGGGGAAUAUUGCACAAUGGGCGCAAGCCUGAUGCAGCCAUGCCGCGUGUGUGAAGAAGGCCUUCGGGUUGUAAAGCACUUUCAGCGGGGAGGAAGGCGAUAAGGUUAAUAACCUUGUCGAUUGACGUUACCCGCAGAAGAAGCACCGGCUAACUCCGUGCCAGCAGCCGCGGUAAUACGGGGGGUGCAAGCGUUAAUCGGAAUUACUGGGCGUAAAGCGCACGCAGGCGGUCUGUCAAGUCGGAUGUGAAAUCCCCGGGCUUAACCUGGGAACUGCAUUCGAAACUGGCAGGCUAGAGUCUUGUAGAGGGGGGUAGAAUUCCAGGUGUAGCGGUGAAAUGCGUAGAGAUCUGGAGGAAUACCGGUGGCGAAGGCGGCCCCCUGGACAAAGACUGACGCUCAGGUGCGAAAGCGUGGGGAGCAAACAGGAUUAGAUACCCUGGUAGUCCACGCCGUAAACGAUGUCGAUUUGGAGGUUGUGCCCUUGAGGCGUGGCUUCCGGAGCUAACGCGUUAAAUCGACCGCCUGGGGAGUACGGCCGCAAGGUUAAAACUCAAAUGAAUUGACGGGGGCCCGCACAAGCGGUGGAGCAUGUGGUUUAAUUCGAUGCAACGCGAAGAACCUUACCUGGUCUUGACAUCCACAGAACUUUCCAGAGAUGGAUUGGUGCCUUCGGGAACUGUGAGACAGGUGCUGCAUGGCUGUCGUCAGCUCGUGUUGUGAAAUGUUGGGUUAAGUCCCGCAACGAGCGCAACCCUUAUCCUUUGUUGCCAGCGGUUCGGCCGGGAACUCAAAGGAGACUGCCAGUGAUAAACUGGAGGAAGGUGGGGAUGACGUCAAGUCAUCAUGGCCCUUACGACCAGGGCUACACACGUGCUACAAUGGCAUAUACAAAGAGAAGCGACCUCGCGAGAGCAAGCGGACCUCAUAAAGUAUGUCGUAGUCCGGAUUGGAGUCUGCAACUCGACUCCAUGAAGUCGGAAUCGCUAGUAAUCGUAGAUCAGAAUGCUACGGUGAAUACGUUCCCGGGCCUUGUACACACCGCCCGUCACACCAUGGGAGUGGGUUGCAAAAGAAGUAGGUAGCUUAACCUUCGGGAGGGCGCUUACCACUUUGUGAUUCAUGA